CUGAUUGGUUGCCUGAGUGAAAUGAGCCCACCCCCUUGUCUCUAUGACACUGUGAUCCAGAGUUAUGUUCAAUACAAAAUCCCUAUGUAAUUUACCAUAGUAGGAAAAACACACUGUUUCAUGGGCACGGCUUCACCAUAGUAAGUCAAUGGGGCAACUUUGGGCAGCUCUUGCGCCCCAGGGGUACAACUUACACCCCAUUUUGAGGUAUGGUCUGACAGAGACUGUCAGCCUCUUCAAACGUUGUAACCCACAUGUUUCUACGAAAUUCUUGUUAGGAGCUAUGACUCGUCAAAGUUCGUCGCAAUGUUAAGUCAAUGGGAUUUUUCGGCUACUUUUUCGCCCGCCGGGCGAACAUCGUACACCCGAUCGCUUAUAAAAGUCAUAGCACACCUCUCCUCAAUGAGCCGGUCGAUUUGACACCUCAUUCAUGGGUCUAGGACAAAAACUGCGGGACAAGUUACGCGCCGAAGUUUUGUCCAGAAGAAGAAGAAGAAUAAUAAUAAUAAUAAGUAUGCAGGAGAACAAUAAUGAUGCUUUGCCUUUGGCAAGCACCAUUAACUAGAAUGUACAUUUCCUGAAGAAAAUGUGAAUGGUGCUUGCAAUGGCAAAACUCAGCACUCGGUUGCUAGCGUGUUUCUAGGCAAUUGCUAAGGUGUUCUGGGUGGUUGCUAGGCGGUUACUAUGGUAACCUGGGUGGUUGCUAGGGUGUUGCUAGGCAGUUGCUAAGGUACUUGGGGUGGUUGCUAAGGUGUUGCUAGGCGGUUGCUAGGGUGUUCUGGGUGGUUGCUAGGCGGUUGCUAUGGUAACCUGGGUGGUUGCUAGGCGGUUGCUAGGCAGUUGCUAAGGUACUUGGGGUGGUUGCUAAGGUGUUGCUAGGCGGUUGCUAGGGUGUUCUGGGUGGUUGCUAGGCAGUUGCUAUGGUAACCUGGGUGGUUGCUAGGCGGUUGCUAGGCAGUUGCUAAGGUACUUGGGGUGGUUGCUAAGGUGUUGCUAGGCGGUUGCUAGGGUGUUCUGGGUGGUUGCUAGGCGGUUGCUAUGGUAACCUGGGUGGUUGCUAGGCGGUUGUUAGGCAGUUGGUAAGGUACUUGGGGCAGUUGCUACGGUGUUGCUAGGUGGUUGCUAGGGUGUUAUGGGUGGUUGCUAGGCAGUUGCUAUGGUAACCUGGGUGGUUGCUAUGAUGUUACUAGGUGGUUGGUAGUUGUCACAGAUGGUUACUAUGGUGUUUUUAUAGAGUUCUUAGCAUGUUCUUAGCCCACUUUAGCACUUAGCUAAUCACCAUUAGCAUGUAGCUAUUCACUGCUAGAAUGUGUAGCAGGUUGGAAGUCCAGUUUGCUAGCAUGAGUCGAAAGAGCCAACCGCCAUGUCUCUACGAUGCUCUGAUGCAGAGAUAUAGGUCUUGCUAAACGGUUGCUAGGGUACUCUGUUUGGUUGCUAGGGAGUGGCUUAGCAGCUGCCAAUGAUGAUACACCAAAGGCUGCUUGCCAAUAUAAGCCAACCGCCAUGUCUCUACGAUGUUCUGAUGCAGAGAUAUAGGUCUUGAAAAACGGUUGCUAGGGUACUCUGUUUGGUUGCUAGGGAGUGGCUUGGCAGCUGCCAAUGAUGAUACUCCAAAGGCUGCUUGCCAGUAUGAAUGAUAUAAAUCAACCCCCAUGCCUCUAUGAUAUUGAGAUUUAAAGAUAUCGCUCUAUGCUGUGGGUUGCUAGGGUGCUCCAAAUGGUUGCUAGGGCGUGGCUAUGAAGUCUUUAAGGUGAUUCGUGAUUGGCCGUUUGCUCUCCCGAGUCAAAUGAGCCCACCCUCAUGUUCCUAUGACACUUCUAUCCAAAGGACUAUCUUUGACCUUUUUGAAUGGAAGUCUAUGGAACCUGUUGCUAGGGUGCUCUAUAUGGUUGCUAGGGCGUGGCUUCAUAGCGUCACAUUGAUCCUGAGAGACUGAUUGGUUGCCUGAGUGAAAUGAGCCCGCCCCCUUGUCUCUAUGACACUGUGAUCAAUAGUGAGAGAUGUGAGUGAGUGAGAGAAAGGGUUCUAAGGCCCUGCGUGUGUGUGCGUGUGUGAGAAAGUGACAGUUGAGAUUCAAAUUUCUGAACAUUCCGCCAUUGAAAGUCAAUGGGACUUUUUUGGCCGCUUUUUCGCCCCCUGUGCGAACAUCGUUGGGCCGAUCGCUUAUAAAAGUCAUAGCACACCUCUCCUCAAUGAGCCGGUCGAUUUGACACCUCAUUCAUGGGUCUAGGACAAAAACUGCGGGACAAGUUACGCGCCGAAGUUUUUGUCCAGAAGAAGAAGAAUAA